rnacentral:lncRNA from 1 species
AUUUCCCUAAUGACUAAUGAUGCUGAACAGUUUUUCAUAUGUGUAGUUGCAGCCACAUAUCUUCUUUGGUGAAGUGUUUUUUCAGAUAUUUUAUCUGGUAUUGUUUUCCCCCAUCAUUGAGUUUCAAGAGUUCUACAGAUAGUCUGGAAACACAUCCUUUAUCAGAUUCACAUUUGCAAAUAUUUUCUUCCGUUUUUGUGGCUUGUCUUUUGAUUCUUCUAAUAAUGUCUUUUUCCAUGCAAAAUUUUAAAUUUUGAUAAAGUCCAGUUUAUAUUUUGUCUUUCAUGAAUCUUUCUUUUGUUGUCAUAUCUAAAAACUCUUUGCCAUACCCAAAGUCAUGUAGAUAUCCUCCUACGUUUUCUUCUAGAAGUUUGACAGCUUGAAACUUUACGUUUAUGUCUAUGAUACAUUUUUUCAAUUAUUUUAUUGAAAUCUAAAGCUUUAUAACAUUGUGUAAUUUCAGGCAUGUAAUAUUAUUUGUCAAUUUCUGUAUAGACUGCAUCAUGCUCACCACCAGUAGUCUAAUUCUUAUCUGUCACCAUACAUAAGUGCCCCCUUACCCCUUUGCCCACCUCCCCCCCAGCCCUCUUCCCUUCUUGUAACUGCUAAUCUAUUCUCUUUAUCUGUCUGCUUGUUUAUCUUCCACAUAUCAGUGAAAUCAUGUGAUGUUUAUCUUUCUCUGUCUGGCUUAUUUCACUUAUCAUAUCCUCAAGCUACAUCCAUGUUGUUGCAAAUGAGAUAAUUUUGACUUUUUUAUGGCUAAGUAGUAUUCCUUUGUAUGCAUAUAUCAGAUAUUCCUUAUCCAUUCAUCCAUAGCAGGGUGCUUGUGUUGCUUCUACAUCUUGGCUAUUGUGAAUAAUGCUGUAGUAAACAUAGGGGUGCAUAAAUCUCAUUGGAUUGUUGAUUUAAAGUUCUUUGGAUAAAUACCCAGUAGUGGGAUAGCUGGGUUGUAUGGCAUUUCUAUUUUUAAUUUUUUGAGAAAUCUCCAUACUGUUUUCCAUACCAUGUGCACCAGUUUACAUUCCCCCAGCACAGUGUGUGAGUUCCAGUUGUGCACUUGCUUGGCAACAUUUGGUGUUGCUUAUCUUUUUUAUUUUUACCAUUCCGGUAGGUGUGAAAUGGUAUCUCAUUGUGGUUUUACUUUGCAGUUUGCUGAUGAUUAAAAAUGUUAAGAAUCCUUUCAAAUGUAUUGGCCCUUUAUAUAUCUUCUUUUGUGAUGUAUGUCCUCCAAGCUUUUGCCCAGUUUUUGGGGGUUGUUCAUUUUUUAAUUGUUGACUUGUCAGAAUAUUUUAUAUAUUAUGGUUACAAAUACAUUGUCAGGUAUAUGAUUUUCACAUUUUUUUGCAGUCUGUGGCUUGUCUUUCAUGUUUGUAAUGCUAUAUUUUGAUGAGCAGAAAUUUUUAGCUUUGCUGACGUCUAAUUUAUCAAUUUUUCUUUAUAGCUAGUGCUUAUGUAUUCCAUCUGAGAAAUCUUUACCUACCUCAGUUCCCUAUAUAUUCUCCUAUAUUUUUUUCCAGAAGCUUUGUGGUUCUGAAUUGUAUGUUAAGAUCUAUGAACCACCUCAAAUUCAGUUUUGCGUAUAGAGUGAAAUAGGGUUGAGGUUAUUGUUUUUCCUAUAUAGAUGACCAGUUGUUUUAGCGACAUUUGUUAAAAAGACUUACUUUUACUAGUUAAAUUAACUUGACUCCUUGGCUGAAAAUUCAGUUCACUGUAUACGUGUUGAUCUAUUUCUAGACUCUGUUGUGUUCCAUUGAGUUAUUACUCUAUCCUUAUACCAGUGCCAGACUGUUUUGAUCUCUAUAGCUUCAUACUGUUUUGAAAUCAGUAUAAAUCUGUCCAGUUUUUUCAAAAUUGUUUUGAUUAUUUCAGGUCCUUUGCAUUUCCAUAUAAACUUUGGAAUGAGUUUAUCUAUAUCUUUUAAAAUGCCCAGUGGAAUUUGGUAGGAAUUGGUUAAAUUUGUAAAUCAGCGUAAGGAGAAUGGACAUCUUCCAAUCUGUAAACAUAGAAUAUCUCUUCCUUAAUUUGGAUCCUCUUUAGUUUCUCAGCAAUAUUUUUGUUGUUUCCAGUAUAGAGAGCUUGAAUUUCUUGUUAGAUUUUUUCCUACAGACGAUUGACAUUUAAUACAAUCACCCCUACAACUGGUUUGAAGAAUGCUGUCGUGCUAACAUGUCUUCUAUUUGCCCCAUAUGUUCUUUUUCUUUUAUUCUUCUUUCUCACUUUCACUAAUCACUCACUUUUUACUAUUCCACUUUUUUCCCCUAUUUUCUAUUAGCUUUUUAGUUGUACUACGAUCUUAUGUUAUUCUUUUAAUGUUUAAUCCAGGGAUUACAAUAUGACCCUUGAUUGAUUACUUCUACUUUAAAUGUGUGCCUUUCGCUUCUCUGAACAAUGCAAGAAGCUUCUCAUAGCUUAACUCAUUUAACUGCUCUCUCACUCUUCAUGCUACUUUUGUCACAUACUUUACUUUUACACAGGUUACAGAUCCCACAAGAUAUUGUUAUUAUUGCUGUUGUUUUAAACAGUGAAUAUUUGUUUCUUUUUAUCCACAUAUUUACCUUUUCGUCUGCUCUUCCUUCCUUUCUGUAGUUUCAUGCUUCCUUCUGAGAUCACUUUCCUUCAGCCUGAAGAACUCCUUUUAACAUUUCUUACGGCUCAAGACUGCUGGCAAUUAAUUCUCUCAGAAAUUUUUUUGUCAAAAAAAUCUUUAUUUUGUCCUCAUUUUUUAAACAAUUUUAUUGAGACGUAAUUCACAUACCAUACAAUUCACUCACGUUAAGUGUACAGUGUGGUGCUGUUCAGCGUAUUGACAGAGUUGUGCAACACGAUCAAUUUUAGAAGAUUUUCAUCAUCCUAAAAAAGAAACUCUCUUUAGGGGCCGGCCCAGUGGCGAAGCAGUUAAGUUCACAUGCCCCACUUCAGCAGCCCAGGGUUCGCCGGUGUGGACCUACUCACCCAGGGCACUUAUCAAGCCAUGCUGUGGCAGGCAUCCUACAUAUAAAGGAGAGAAAGAUGGGCAAAGAUGUUAACUCAGGGACAAUCUUCCUCAGCAAAAGGAGGAGGAUUGGUGGCGAAUGUUAGCUCAGGGCUAAUCUUUCUGAAAAAAUACGUUUAAAGGGGCUGGCCCUGUGGCCAAGUGGUUAAGUUCACGCCUUCUGCUGCAGGCGGCCCAGUGUUUCGUCAGUUCAAAUCCUGGGCAUGAACACGACACUGCUCAUCAAACCACGUUGAGGCGGCGUCCCACAUGCCACAACUAGAAGGACCCACAACUAAGAAUAUACAACUAUGUACUGGGGGGCUUUGGGGAGAAAAAGGAAAAAAAUAAAAUCUUUUAAAAAAAUACUUUAAAAAAAUAAAGAAAGCCUCUUUAGCUGUCACUUCUCAAUCCUCUCAUCCCUUGUCCCCCAGCCUUUGGCACCCAUUAGCCUACUUUUUGACUCUAAAGAUUUGCCUAUUCUGGACAUUUUCUAUCCAUGAAAUCAUAUGAUACGUGGUCUUUUGUGAGUGGCUUUUUUCACUUAGCACAAUGUUUUCAAGAUUCGUAGAUACAGUAGCAUGUAUCAAUACUUCAUUUCAUAUAUGUAUAUAUAAAUAUAGUCUUAAAUUCUUAUUGAGGUAUAACAUCCUUAUAGUAAAUUGAACAAAUCUUGAGUGUACACCUUGAUUUUUUCACAGAUAUUUAACUAUGUAACCACCACUGAGCUCAAGAUACAAAACAUUUCCAAUACCUCAGAAGGUUCCCUUAUGCCCUUUCCCAAUCAAUAACCCUCUAAUCCAGAGAAAACCCCUACUCUGAUCCAAACCAUCAUAGAUUAGUUUGCAUUUUUAUAACAGCUUUACUAAGAUAUAAUUCACAUACCAUACAAUCACCCAUUUAAAGUGAACAAGUUAAAGCUUUUUAUUAUAUUCACAGAGUCAUACAACCAUCAAUACCAUCAAUUUUAGAACUUUUUCAUUGCCCCCCCCCAAAAGUUAUACACUGUCACUUCCACUGUACUCUGUCGGUUACAGAGACCCGCCCUCAUCCAAUGUGGUGGGCACUACACAAACACACGAAUGCCAAGAGGUGAGGAUUAUUGGAAACCAUCUUGGAGUCUUGCUAUCAAAAUCCACUAUAUGGCUCCCAAUUAUUCACAUUCCGUCCAUAAGCAAAACACACUCUUCCACACCCAAGGCCCUUCAAAAUCUCAGCACAUUACAGCAUCAACUCAAAGUCCACAGUCCUAUCACCUAAAUCAGGCCCAUGUGUGGAUGGCUAUCCCUUGAUAACAGUUCCUCUUAAUCUGAAGAUCUGUGAACUAAAGAGAUAAGUUAACAGCUACUCACACAUAAAAACACACAACCCCAAUAACAACAGGCAUCAGAUAACUGCUAUAGACACUCCUGUUCAAGAAAGGGAGAAAGAGGGCCAGCCUGGUGGUGCAGUGGUUAAGCGUGCACGUUCCGCUUCUCGGAGGCCUGGGGCUUGCUGGUUCGGAUCCCAGGUGCAGACAUGGCACCACUUGGCAAAAGCCAUGCUGUGGUAGGCUUCCCACAUAUAAAGUAGAGGAAGAUGGGCAUGGAUGUUAGCUCGGGGCCAGUCUUCCUCAACAAAAAGAGGAGGAUUGGCAGUAGUUAGCUCGGGGCUAAUCUUUCUCAAAAAAAAAGGGGGGAGAAAGAGAGGCAUACAGGAGUCUACAGCAAAUUCCAGAAAGGCCUCUGCUGAUAGUUCCUUGAAUGAGACUCAAGGCCUAGGAAUUAAUUCUCCAUGGUUCUUGGCUCUGCCAAAGGGGUCUUGGUUCCUUUUCAAAGAAACGUAGUUUGUGUUUUCAACUGAGUACUUUCCUCUAUCUUCUUCCUGUCUGUAGAAAUUUGGGGGUCUAGAUAUCUUUUUAAUUUUGUACUAUCUGUCCCUUUCAGCCCACACUGGCAGUAUUUCUGCCGCUACAAUUCUCUUAAAAACUUUGUGGGUCUCUUAUGAAUCUUAUUGGUGUUCCCUCUAUUAGACAUAAGCCUCAGACAUAAAUGUCUUCAAGAUAAGUCUUUCUCUAAUUUGGACUUCUCCUGAGAUGGCUCAAGGACAAAAUCCUUAAGCUUCUUAGAAGCUAUUGUUUGGAAGAUUCUCUAAGUAACUGCCUUGGGUCUUUCUGAGAUCCUAACAAAAUAUUUUACAUUCACUCUCUUGGCUUCAUCUUUAGACUGUUU